UACCUAGCAGCAGGAGCACCUCGAUCAACACACAACACAAGGCAGUAUGCGUUCAGCUCGCCACCUCCAGCUCCCGGUCUGGGCCCUCCUUCUGCUCUUGCACUUCUCAGCCUUCGUCCCGGCAGCCAGAGCACAGCAAAAAUCGACGAUGAGUCGGAGUUCAGCUACGACUGUGGGGCGGAGAACGGGCCGGAGAACUGGGGCAAGAUCAAGGAGGAGUGGGCGACGUGCAUAACUGGGCGGAUGCAGUCGCCCAUCGACCUCUCCGACCGCUAUGCCACACAGGCGCCCAACCUAGGGUACCUCAACCACUCCUACCGCUCUGCCAAGGCCUCCAUCGUCAACCGUGGCCACGAUAUCGCGGUGAUGUUCCACGGCGACGCCGGGAGCCUGUGGAUUAAUGGCACCGCCUACCACCUCAGGCAGCUGCACUGGCACACCCCAGCGAGCACCGCUUAA
rnacentral:rRNA from 1 species